AUUGGCUGCUACUGGCCAUACUUUGGAAGAUCAGAGGAGGGUUCCCACAGAGCUGGAACUCACCUCUGAGAAGAGAAUAUUGCUCAGCUGCUUCUCAUGCCUCCAAGUGAGCACAAUAGUGAUGCUCAUUCGUGAAGUUAGAAAGAAGGUGGAAACUAGAAAACCACAGCUAUAACCAACUGCUGCUGCUAAGUGGUCCGCCAAACUAUUGGUAACCCUUAUAAGAUGAGGGGUUGACCUUGGCAGCCAAUUCAACCUGAAGUGAUAGAGGAAGAAUGGGACUGUUUCAAGGGAAGGCUCCUUACAGUGAAGAAAAGGGUCAAAUCCAAUUAAAAUUGCAAAGGAAACUUCCCGAGGACGAAUGCCAUUAGCCCAAACUGGAAUGUGGCCAAAACACGGGGUAAUACUUCAACUCUUAGAAAAAGUGCCAGGGGGAUAUUUAACAACUGCAGGUGGCCAAAUGCUUUCUCAUAAGUCUCAUCAGAAAAGUCAUUUAUAGCAACAGUAUUC